rnacentral:rRNA from 1 species
ACACAUGCAAGUCGAACGAAGCACUUUGAUCGAUUUCUUCGGAUUGAAAUUUUAGUGAGUGAGUGGCGGACGGGUGAGUAACGCGUGGGUAACCUGCCUCACACAGGGGGAUAACAGUUGGAAACGGCUGCUAAUACCGCAUAAGCGCACAGUACCGCAUGGUACAGUGUGAAAAACUCCGGUGGUGUGAGAUGGACCCGCGUCUGAUUAGCUAGUUGGCAGGGCAGCGGCCUACCAAGGCGACGAUCAGUAGCCGACCUGAGAGGGUGACCGGCCACAUUGGGACUGAGACACGGCCCAAACUCCUACGGGAGGCAGCAGUGGGGAAUAUUGCACAAUGGGGGAAACCCUGAUGCAGCGACGCCGCGUGAGCGAAGAAGUAUUUCGGUAUGUAAAGCUCUAUCAGCAGGGAAGAAGAAAUGACGGUACCUGACUAAGAAGCACCGGCUAAAUACGUGCCAGCAGCCGCGGUAAUACGUAUGGUGCAAGCGUUAUCCGGAUUUACUGGGUGUAAAGGGAGCGCAGGCGGAAGGCUAAGUCUGAUGUGAAAGCCCGGGGCUCAACCCCGGUACUGCAUUGGAAACUGGUCAUCUAGAGUGUCGGAGGGGUAAGUGGAAUUCCUAGUGUAGCGGUGAAAUGCGUAGAUAUUAGGAGGAACACCAGUGGCGAAGGCGGCUUACUGGACGAU